rnacentral:rRNA from 1 species
GAUGAACGCUAGCGGCAGGCCUAAUACAUGCAAGUCGAGGGGCAGCGGGGUAGCAAUACUGCCGGCGACCGGCGCACGGGUGCGUAACACGUAUGCAACCUACCUUAAACUGGGGGAUAGCCCGGGGAAACUCGGAUUAAUACCCCAUAACACAGUGUUAUCUCAUGAUGAUAUUGUUAAAGAUUUAUCGGUUUAAGCUGGGCAUGCGUUCGAUUAGCUAGUUGGUGAGGUAACGGCUCACCAAGGCUACGAUCGAUAGGGGGUCUGAGAGGAUGAUCCCCCACACUGGUACUGAGAUACGGACCAGACUCCUACGGGAGGCAGCAGUAGGGAAUAUUGGUCAAUGGAGGCAACUCUGAACCAGCCAUGCCGCGUGUAGGAAGAAGGCGUUCUGCGUUGUAAACUACUUUUGAUUGGGAACAAUGACUCUUGCGAGAGUAGCUGAGUGUACCAAUAGAAUAAGCCACGGCUAACUACGUGCCAGCA